CACGUAGGGUGCGAGCGUUGUCCGGAAUUAUUGGGCGUAAAGAGCUCGUAGGCGGUUUGUCGCGUCGGCCGUGAAAUCUCCACGCUUAACGUGGAGCGUGCGGUCGAUACGGGCAGACUUGGAGUUCGGUAGGGGAGACUGGAAUUCCUGGUGUAGCGGUGAAAUGCGCAGAUAUCAGGAGGAACACCGGCGGCGAAGGCGGGUCUCUGGGCCGAUACUGACGCUGAGGAGCGAAAGCGUGGGGAGCGAACAGG
rnacentral:rRNA from 1 species